ACGGUUUCCUUCUUCUCGUUGCCGUGGCAACUCGGCAGGACAGCUUCGAACGGCAGGAAUUCUUACAGACCUAAAGGACGGGAGAUGGGGCUGGGGCUUGUCCAGAUGGGCUGAGCAGCAAAGCAGGCACCUGGAUGGCCCUCACCUGCCUGGCCUUUCCCUGCAGCACCACGUCAGCUUUGGAAAACAAAGGUUGAUCCCCAUGAGAGAAGAAAAUGGAGGAAAAAACCACACAGAGCACUUUAAGACAAGAUUUCACAACGCCCCAUCCCAGGAAAAAUGCAACUGGUAGCCUGUAACCUCAUUCACUGUGGUUCAGGUUGCCAAGAGCUCAUAUUCCAGCAGAACCCUUCCCAUCAGCCAACAAGCUACUCCUGAUCUCAGAAAAUGCUUUGGAAUGUCUCAGGGACUCCAAGCCUCCCUGCUGCAGCCUUAGCUUUCUCUGAACAUAUUUCUAUAUUAGUGAUUCAAUUCCCUGCUUAUUUUAAAGAAACAGGUCUAAAUUGAGUAAUUAAAAGCCGCUGAAAGAUGUGUUUCUCCUGAGACCAAACUCACCCCCCAUUACACAGACUGUGCUUCUACACUGCAGUUAAAACCUCAUAAAAAUUAAAGGCAUUUAAGUUUCAUGCUGACCCUCUGUACAGGAAUGAGCUUUAUCCACGAUGCAUUCAUCCUUUAAUUCCCAUUAAAAUAUGAGAGUUAAUGCAACUGGAGUUUGGAGUUCAGCUCAUGCAUGCUCCAUUUCUUUCAAUUACCCUUUCAUCAGAAAUAUUAUAUUAAUUUUGCAUAAUUAGAAGCCUGCAUUACAUCAUGGACUUCAUCGAAACCCCAGUAACGCUGAAGAGGUAAAUGCAAAAAUGAGAGAAGAGAUCAGAACUGUGUUUCUGAUUAGGCAGCUAAUCAACACCCAGGUACUUCUUUCCUGGAUUUACCAGCUAUAAAAGGUCAUUAAUUAGAUACACAGUUAUUAGUUUAGCCUUCAUGCAGAACUUAGAGAAAUAUAAAUGAUUUUCAUGUGCAUCACUGGUUGAUUAGUCACCUGUAGUUUUCAACACCAGAAGUUUCACAGUGUUUGCACCAUAUGCCUUUAAAUUAUAUUUCACCCCAAAUCUCAUUGAAUUUGAAAGACUGAAACAACUAUUCCCAGGUGGAUACCCUGUGUCCUCAUUCCUGCAAUUGAGAACUUUGGGGUUAGUUGUCAGCCAGAGCAGUAGGUAUGAUGAUUGUGGCUGGAGAAACUGGUGAUCUCACCGGGCAGCGACACCCUGGGGAAAAGUUUAUAAGGAACUUUUAAACUUUUAUAAGGAGCUCAUUUACAGCAGUAAAUGAGUUUAUCCCGAAAAUUUGCAGCUAAUGACAUAAUAUACAAUUUGUUUUCCAUUUAUGUGAGAAAUGAUUUCAAAGUUCUUAAUGACAGGAAAAACACUGUCUGCAUUAGUGCUGUGUGUGAAAUGAGUGUCUCAUGACUGCACUCACAGCUCCAGUGGGCUCUCGUAUAUCAAUGUCAAUAUUUAACUCCAAGAACUAAAAUGCUGGCACGUGCUGUGCAAGUGGCCAGAAUUGGCAAGACGGUGGAGAACACAUGCCAACCCAAACUAAUCAGCCUGCACAGGGGAAUAAGUUGCUCAGGCUGAAGCCAUUUUCACCGGGUACCUCUUUGACACCAGCAGAUGGUAUUUCCAAGAGUGGCUCUCCCACUCCUAACUAAUUUAUUAUAAGACUGUAGUGGCAGAUCUGAAGCAGGGCUGAUGUAACACAAAGUGCUCUUCUGGCUCCUGGCAAGGGCCCUGCUCACUGCUGCUCCUGGUUUCUGCUUCCCCUCUUCCUUGUUGUGUACCCACAUCCACUCACCAUGGAACGAGCUGGUCCUAAGGAAUGCAGAAAAGAAGCACCAUCCAAGAGAAAAGCUGUUCAGAUGAAGUAAAAUUCUAACUCUGCUUAGAAAUUCAGAAGCAUGUUCCACCCAGCCCAGUGCACUGCUACAUUUAUCAAAUAAAGCAUCUUCUAAUGAAAUUCCUGUUCACCGGGGUAUGAAGUAUCUUACUGGGGGUGGGGGCAUUUUCUAGGGUAGAGUCACUAAGAUGUACUAGAUGAUUAUUUUUUUAAAAUUGAUAUGAAUUUUAGUUGGAUACUUUGCCAAAGCAAUGUUACAUUCAUUUAACCAAUAUGCAAUAAAUGCUUCCUUCAUUUUCCAGUUCCAUCAAAACUAAACAAUUGCAGAGGUGGCUGCCUGCAGCCUGGACCUGUAUUUUCUUCUGCCCUAAUCUGAUAGAUUUAUCUGAAUGCUUGAAAAUAUUCAGCAAAUGAAAUGAAUAAGUACAGGUUUGAAGUAGCAGCAUUGAACAAGUCUCCUGAUUUUUCAUAUUUAUGCUGAAAAAUGAAAUGCAUCAAAAUGUACCCGUGAGCCAACCUUUUAAAGGAGUGGGUAACUGCUCAGGCAGGCAGAGCUCAUCUUCCACAGCAGCACAGCUUAGUUCACCAUCAGUUUUAAAUAAGUAGAACAUGAAAAUAAGUAGUCCAGACACAUUCAGUUCUGUAGGUAUAGGCUAAUCCCAGCUUGAAAUGCUAAAAUAAUCAUCUGAAGAAAUUCAUUUUAAGUAAGAAUAAAAUAGAAAAAAAAAUGUGAGGAAAGAAUAAUGCUCAUAAGCCAGAGAAAAGGGAAAA